AAGCGUUUGUUUUGAUAACGAACUUAGCUGAUAUGCAAUGAGAGGCAAUAAUUUUAAACUUGGAGCAAAUCUUUAAAAAUUAUCUUAGUUCGGAUUAAGGGCUGAAACUCGCCCUUAUGAAGCUGGAAUCGCUAGUAAUCGCAAAAUAGCAUGUUGCGGUGAAUAU
rnacentral:ncRNA from 1 species